rnacentral:rRNA from 1 species
UACAGAGGGGGCAAGCGUUGUUCGGAAUUAUUGGGCGUAAAGAGCUCGUAGGCGGUUUGUCGCGUCUGCCGUGAAAACCCGAGGCUUAACCUCGUGGCUUGCGGUGGAUACGGGCAGACUAGAGGUAGGUAGGGGAGAAUGGAAUUCCCGGUGUAGCGGUGAAAUGCGCAGAUAUCGGGAGGAACACCGGUGGCGAAGGCGGUUCUCUGGGCCUUACCUGACGCUGAGGAGCGAAAGCGUGGGGAGCGAACAGG